rnacentral:rRNA from 1 species
AACGAACGCUGGCGGCAUGCCUAACACAUGCAAGUCGAACGAGACCUUCGGGUCUAGUGGCGCACGGGUGCGUAACGCGUGGGAACCUGCCCUUAGGUUCGGAAUAACUCCCCGAAAGGGGUGCUAAUACCGGAUAAUGUCUUCGGACCAAAGAUUUAUCGCCUUUGGAUGGGCCCGCGUUGGAUUAGCUAGUUGGUAGGGUAAAAGCCUACCAAGGCGACGAUCCAUAGCUGGUCUGAGAGGAUGAUCAGCCACACUGGGACUGAGACACGGCCCAGACUCCUACGGGAGGCAGCAGUGGGGAAUAUUGGACAAUCGGCGAAAGCCUGAUCCAGCAAUGCCGCGUGAGUGAUGAAGGCCUUAGGGUUGUAAAGCUCUUUUACCCGGGAUGAUAAUGACAGUACCGGGAGAAUAAGCUCCGGCUAACUCCGUG